rnacentral:rRNA from 1 species
UACGUAGGUGGCAAGCGUUGUUCGGAAUUAUUGGGCGUAAAGGGCGCGUAGGCGGCCACCGCAAGCCGACUGUGAAAUCUCCGGGCUUAACUCGGAAAGGUCAGCCGAUACUGCGGGGCUAGAGUGCAGAAGGGGCAACUGGAAUUCCGGGUGUAGCGGUGAAAUGCGUAGAUAUCCGGAGGAACACCGGUGGCGAAGGCGGCUUCCUGGACCGACACUGACGCUGAGGCGCGAAAGCUAGGGGAGCAAACGGG